GCCUGGACGUAACACGGCACCACCCCCGCCCGCCAAAUAACUACGAGUGAAAACUUAAAACUUAAAGGACUUGACGGUACUUCACACCCAACCUAGAGGAGCCUGUCUACUAACCGAUAAUCCACGAUUAACCCAACCACUUCUAGCCACCCAGCCUAUAUACCACCGUCGCCAGCCUACCUUGUAAAAGAAACAAAGUGAGCCAAACAGCACUACACUAACACGACAGGUCAAGGUGUAACUAAUGAAGCGGACUAAGAUGGGCUACAUUCUCUACCCCAGAUUAUACGAACAAGGCUAUGAAACUAACCUUUAAAGGCGGAUUUAGCAGUAAGCUGAGAACAAAAUACUCAACUGAAACCAAUGCAAUGAAGUGCGU
rnacentral:rRNA from 1 species